UUAGGUGUCUAUAUCGGCGGUGUCUACCUCUUCCCAUUCCGAACAGAGAAGUCAAGCCCGCCAGAGCCGAUGGUAUUGCCGUAACAGGUGGGAGAGUAGGUCGAUGCCUUUU
rfam:Sphingobacterium sp. ML3W, complete genome.